rnacentral:rRNA from 1 species
AUUGAACGCUGGCGGCAGGCCUAACACAUGCAAGUCGAACGAGGGGCGGACGGGUGUGUAAUGUCUGGGAAACUGCCUGAUGGCGGGGGAUAACUACUGGAAACGGUAGCUAAUACCGCAUACCAUCAGAUGAUCCCAGAUGGGUUUAGCUUGUUGGUGGGGUAACGGCUCACCAAGGCGACGAUCCCUAGCUGGUCUGAGAGGAUGACCAGCCACACUGGAACUGAGACACGGUCCAGACUCCUACGGGAGGCAGCAGUGGGGAAUAUUGCACAAUGGGCGCAAGCCUGAUACAGCCAUGCCGCGUGUAUGAAGAAGGCCUUCGGGUUGUAAAGUACUGUCAGCAGGGAGGCGUUACCCGCAGAAGAAGCACCGGCUAACUCCGUGCCAGCAGCCGCGGUAAUAC